rnacentral:tRNA from 1 species
CCAUCGGUGGUUCAGUUGUAGAAUGCUCUCCUGCCAUGCGGGCGGCCCGGGUUCGAUACCCGGCCGAUGCA